AGAACAGGGGCUGCCGAUGCUCUGUCUCCCAGUCUACCUGGAGUGAUUCAACAUAGAAAUCAAUGAAACAAAUGCCACCAUGGCUGAGUGAGACCUUUCAUUUUUCUUCCCAGGUGUUGGAGAAGGCUUCUGGUGAAGGAUUUGGCAAAACCGCCGAGGUUCCUUCCUGGUGCUGCUCCUGAGGGAAUGCUUCCGAGACCUGAGCUGGCUGGCACUCAUCCAUAGUGUCCGUGGGGAGGCGGGGCUGCUGGUGACCAGUAUCGUCCCAAAGACCCCGUUUUUCUGGGCCAUGCACAUCACUGAGGCUCUGCACCAGAACAUGCAGGUGCUGUUUAGCACCCUGGCUCAGGCGGAGGAGCAGCAGCCCUACCUGGAGGGCUCCGCCGUUACGCGCGGGACUCGCUGUCUGGCAGAGUACCACCUGGGGGAUUAUGGACACGCCUGGAACAGGUGUUGGGUACUGGACAGGGUGGACACCUGGGCUGUGGU
rnacentral:sRNA from 1 species